AUGCGCUUCCCGGAACGGGCGCGCGGGAGGUUCCAGCGAUCCAGCAGCUCUUGUCCCCCGCCGGACCGGAAAUCACAGGAUUUACAGCGGAAAACGUCCAGUUUCAUUCUGAUCCAGCAAAAGCACGCUCAAAAUGGAGGCAGGGUAAAUGCAGCAUUGAGACAGGUCAGACAAGCAAAGGAGGAGAAACCCAAACAAACCACACCACAGCAGACACCAAAGCAGCAGGUGCCACUUCACAGGGAUGUCAGUCCGUUUGCAUCAGGCACUGUGUUGUCAAGUGAUCCGUGCCUCUCUCCUCCAGGACUUAGGUUUGAAGAAAGCAAAAACCACAAAAUCCAGGGUCCACUUCUGUCCAAGUCAGCGCACACCCAAAGCCAACGGCAUGGAAAGGCCCAUCCCUCUCUCUUCCUCACGGCCAGACGCAUGGGACGCCAGAGGCUCAGAUCCAGGAACCGAGAGAUAGAUCCUGAAUCAGAUUUCACAUAACUCUCGCCUGUUCCAAGGCUGCAACUGCAGAGAUCAGCUCAGGUUUAUUUUUAGGCGCUCCAGUCCUGUGCUUUUUUUUUCCAGUAAUUCUGAUCAAACUUGUUCCUGGAAUUCAGAAACAGGUUCAGCCACAAGACCAUGUCCUGUGUCUAAGAUG
rnacentral:lncRNA from 1 species